CCACGACCGUUGGUGGCGGGGCCGCGCGAGCCCAAGGGCGGUGACGUACGGGGUGACCAUGACAGAUGGUUGGUCACAACGACGCAGGAACUCGAAGUUGAUGGUUUGGCUCAUAACUUUGAGGAAUUCCCCACAAAGUUUUUAUAGAUCCACCAUCGAAAACAUCCUGUCUGGGUGCAUCACAGCGUCGUGUAGCAACUCCUGUGCCGGAACCCCAAGAAACUAAUGCGAGACAUAAACACAGACCAGUCCAUCAUGAAACUAGCCGCCUUCUAUUGAGUCUGUCUUCACAUCCUGCUGUCUCAAGAAAGCAGCCAACAUAACAAAACAUCUCUCCCAGGCAGAAGAUACAAAGGUUUGGAAAUGUGUUUCAAAAAUGUCUUCCCAGCUGUUACCAGAAUUUUGA